rnacentral:rRNA from 1 species
AGAUGGGAGCUUGCUCCCUGAUGUUAGCGGCGGACGGGUGAGUAACACGUGGGUAACCUGCCUGUAAGACUGGGAUAACUCCGGGAAACCGGGGCUAAUACCGGAUGGUUGUUUGAACCGCAUGGUUCAGACAUAAAAGGUGGCUUCGGCUACCACUUACAGAUGGACCCGCGGCGCAUUAGCUAGUUGGUGAGGUAACGGCUCACCAAGGCGACGAUGCGUAGCCGACCUGAGAGGGUGAUCGGCCACACUGGGACUGAGACACGGCCCAGACUCCUACGGGAGGCAGCAGUAGGGAAUCUUCCGCAAUGGACGAAAGUCUGACGGAGCAACGCCGCGUGAGUGAUGAAGGUUUUCGGAUCGUAAAGCUCUGUUGUUAGGGAAGAACAAGUGCCGUUCAAAUAGGGCGGCACCUUGACGGUACCUAACCAGAAAGCCACGGCUAACUACGUGCCAGCAGCCGCGGUAAUACGUAGGUGGCAAGCGUUGUCCGGAAUUAUUGGGCGUAAAGGGCUCGCAGGCGGUUUCUUAAGUCUGAUGUGAAAGCCCCCGGCUCAACCGGGGAGGGUCAUUGGAAACUGGGGAACUUGAGUGCAGAAGAGGAGAGUGGAAUUCCACGUGUAGCGGUGAAAUGCGUAGAGAUGUGGAGGAACACCAGUGGCGAAGGCGACUCUCUGGUCUGUAACUGACGCUGAGGAGCGAAAGCGUGGGGAGCGAACAGGAUUAGAUACCCUGGUAGUCCACGCCGUAAACGAUGAGUGCUAAGUGGUUAGGGGGGUUUCCGCCCCUUAGUGCUGCAGCUAACGCAUUAAGCACUCCGCCUGGGGGAGUACGGUCGCAAGACUGAAACUCAAAGGAAUUGACGGGGGCCCGCACAAGCGG